rnacentral:rRNA from 1 species
AUGGGCUCCCUGUUGAGCAGCCUCUUGGGCAAGCCGGAGCCCCCGCCGCCCAUGGUGCUCGUGCCGCCGCUCUUCGACUACCCGCCCAUCGCCGCCCGCACCAGGAUGGCCGUGCCGGCGUAUGAGCUCAUGUUCGGGAAGCUCCCGCUGCGCAGUCUGUUUGAGGACUACUUCGAUAACGCGGGGACCAUAUCCUCGAGGAUCAUGCUCAAGCCGCUGGAAGAUCCCCACGUUGAUCUGGUCGCCAACGUAUCUGCAGCUGGAGAUAAAGCUAGUGGAACAGAAGUAAAAGGAGACGCUCUAUUUCGCUGGCAGAAAUAUUUGUAUGAUCCCCAUACCUUUGUGGACGUUCAAGUGUCGACUUCAGAACCCAUGCUGAAGCUGAGGUCAUGUGCUUACUUCCCUGAGUAUCGUCUUGGUGCAUUUGGGACAAUCCCUUUGCUAAUGGGAAACAGGCUGUCUUCUGAGGACUAUGCUGUCCUGGGUGUGAGAUAUGGUUCAGAGAAUCUAUCAAUUGGGGCGUCCUUUGUGCCAUUGCCUGAAUCUGCUGAGGUGCCUUAUGGAGCAUGGUUGGUUGGGAGAAAAGGGAGUUUAUGUGCAGGAGCUCAAUAUAAGCCACUUAGUGGAAACAAACAUCCUAUGCCAUACACGGACCCGAAGAACUGGAAUUAUGCAAUCAGUUAUGGUGUGGCCUCAACAAGCCCUCUCAGCCCUUCAUUCAAUUUUUCCCUAGAGCUUGCCAGAAAUACACAGUUCAUUGCAUCAUUCUAUCAGCACCUGGUUGUUCAAAGAAGGAUAAAAAACCCUUUUGAAGAUGAUCAGGUUGUUGGGAUCACAAACUACAUAGACUUGGGGCUUGAGUUGGCUACAGGGAUUGAUAAAAGUAAACCAGCAGAGAGUGGCAACAGCUCCUUGUUUCAGUUAGGUGCAAGCUGGCAAGCGAACAAGAACUUCCUGCUGAAGGGAAAGCUGGGUCCUUCCAAGUCGUCCGUAGCUCUGGCAUUCAAGUCAUGGUGGAGACCAUCCUUCACAUUUAGCGUCACAGCGGAGAACGACCACUCGAAGGGGACAACGUCGUACGGCUUUGGAAUCCGCGUGGAGGAUCUCAGGAAGCCCAGCUACGAGAGGGCAGACCCGAACUACGUGAUGAUGUCGACGAACAAGGAGCACCUGGCGCCGGCCGCCCUGCGCGAGUUCGGGCAGCGGCCCAUGUUCCAGGCGGAUGUGGACUCGGGCAACUUCGAUCACCUGCCCACGGAGCUCAGGCCCAUGAGCAAGAUCAUCUAG